UACGGAGGGUGCAAGCGUUAUCCGGAUUCACUGGGUUUAAAGGGUGCGUAGGUGGGUCUGUAAGUCAGUGGUGAAAUCUCCGAGCUUAACUCGGAAACUGCCAUUGAUACUAUAGGUCUUGAAUUAUCUGGAGGUGAGCGGAAUAUGUCAUGUAGCGGUGAAAUGCUUAGAUAUGACAUAGAACACCAAUUGCGAAGGCAGCUCACUACGGAUAUAUUGACACUGAGGCACGAAAAGCGUGGGGGAUCAAACAGG
rnacentral:rRNA from 1 species